CGUCAUACAGUGUCUAUUCAA
rnacentral:misc_RNA from 1 species